ensembl:lncRNA
UGGUACUCAAGGGCCGUUGUCCAGACGGUGCAAAGACUGUUGUCGAUGCAUGUUUGCUGACAGUGACUGGAGUAAUGUAUAUUCAAUUCUGUGGGAGAAAUAACCAGCUACUGAAGUUUCCAAUAGGCAGCUUUCAUCCAGUUCCUCAGCACUGCUUUGCCUGUGGUGAAUCUGGCUCAGGUUAGAGAGGAUUGGAGAAAAAUAUUUCGAGCACAACGGUG